GCAUUGCACUCGGGCCUAUAACACUCCUCAGAGGAGUCACAUUGCCCUAGCCUUUAUCCCACCACCCCAACCGAUGCUGGCCCACCGGCAGACAAGUGCACUACCCAGAAGGGCAGCUGUUUGUCUACCGCUGAGUCUGGUCUCAAGCGCUUCCCUUUCAACAAUUUCACGUACUUUUUGACUCUAUUUUCAAAGUGCUUUUCAUCUUUCGAUCACUCUACUUGUGCGCUAUCGGUCUCUCGCCAAUGUUUAGCCUUAGAUGAAAUUUACCACCCAUUUUGAGCUGCAUUCCCAAACAACUCGACUCGUAGAAGACACUUUUGUAAGGGAGGGCCACAUCCGACCGAGAACGGGAUUCUCACCCUCUGCGAUGUCCUGUUCCAAGGAACAUAGACCGGGACCCUCCCAAAGUUGCCUCUUCAAAUUACAACUCGGACACCGGUAGGUGCCAGAUUUCAAAUUUGAGCUUCUGCCGCUUCACUCGCCGUUACUAAGGCAAUCCCUGUUGGUUUCUUU
rnacentral:rRNA from 1 species